CUUGCUCUGCACUGCAGAGACCAUCUCUAAGGUGAAUGUCACCUCCGACCUGUGAGGAAGAUGCACUUACAAGGAGAGCCAUGCCAGGAUCUAAGAUGGUGGCCUACAGGAGAGCCCCUGACCUCGGAACUGAUCAUGCAGUUGGUCGGCUGCUCCACUGACCUUAGAAGAGUGACUAAUUAAUGAUACAAAUAUCAGAGCUUCAGGAGGAUUUGCUGCUUCAACUAUCCUGGGUUCUGGCAAGCCGGAUUUGUGCCCUAUUGGAGGGAGCCACGGCCACCUGUGCUGUUUCCUCUAGCAUUUUGGAAAUAAAAUGGAAAUGGAGUCUGAGGAAGGAAUGCUUGGCUCAAAUAACAGCUCUUACCUUCAUCAACACAGUAAACUGGAUAAUCAGCACCAGCUGGGGCAGAAAGGAAGGGCAGCUGGUGAAAUGAACAUGUCCACUCUGUGUCAUAGUAAUGACAGAACUUCAGCUGAAUGUUGUCUGUGAUAAAGGAGACAAAGUAUGGCCAACUUGGGUUUUGCAGAAGUCACUGGAAAUCCACAGCUUUCUAUGAAACUUCCUGAUGCUUAAAAGUCUCCAAAACCAGUUGUUCCACAACUGUUUCCUUGGGCAUACUCUGGGCCAGGGAGUGCCAGAGAUAAAGUGAAGAACAAAGGAGACAAAAACAAAAGUUUGUGCCCUGUCUCAUGCUUACCCUCGUGGAGCUUAGAUUCCACUGAAAGAUACAGACAAUAUAACAAAUAAGUGAAUGAUACUUUGGAAAGUGGAAAUUGUUCAAUGAUGAUAAUCACUCAAGUAUAUCAUGAAGAAUUAUCUAGCUCGGCACUUUCUCCUGAAGUGUAUUACCAGAGAAAUCCAAAAUCUCUGCCAAUGAAACAAGCAAAUCUUCUUAAUAAAGAAU